rnacentral:ncRNA from 20 species
GGUCACGAGUACCAGUGUUCAGCCCCGGCUUGCUGGUCGGCAACCCUCCUCCGCGGUGGGGUGCUCCGGGUGACGACCUGGUCGGCUGCAGCAACGCAGUUGGCAAGCGCGGACU